AAUCCAUGCAUAGGGCACUUAUAAAGAAAUUCUUUAAAUCUUUCACAUGCUUCAUACAAGCUUUCAUCUUCUAACUACUUGAAUGAAGUUAAAUCAUUUUGAAGCUU